CUUGCUAAGGCCGAUGGCGACCGGCGCACGGGUGAGUAACACGUAUCCAACCUGCCCUUUACUCGGGGAUAGCCUUUCGAAAGAAAGAUUAAUACCCGAUAGCAUAAUGAUUCCGCAUGGUUUCAUUAUUAAAGGAUUCCGGUAAAGGAUGGGGAUGCGUUCCAUUAGGUUGUUGGUGGGGUAACGGCCCACCAAGCCUUCGAUGGAUAGGGGUUCUGAGAGGAAGGUCCCCCACAUUGGUACUGAGACACGGACCAA
rnacentral:rRNA from 1 species